AUUGAACGCUGGCGGCAGGCCUAACACAUGCAAGUCGAACGAGUGGCGGACGGGUGAGUAAUGUCUGGGAAACUGCCUGAUGGAGGGGGAUAACUACUGGAAACGGUAGAUAAUACCGCAUACCAUCGGAUGUGCCCAGAUGGGAUUAGCUAGUAGGUGGGGUCAAGGCUCACCUAGGCGACGAUCCCUAGCUGGUCUUAGAGGGUGACCAGCCACACGGGAACGGAGAACAGGUCCAGACUCCAACGGGAGGCAGCAGGGGGGAAUAUGGCGCAAUGGGCGCAAGCCUGAUGCAGCCAUGCCGCGUGUAGGAAGAAGGCCUUCGGGUUGUAAAGUACUUUCAGCGGGGAGGCGUUACCCGCAGAAGCAGCACCGGCUAACUCCGUGCCAGCAGCGGCGGUAAUAC
rnacentral:rRNA from 1 species